GACGAACGCUGGCGGCGUGCCUAAUACAUGCAAGUAGGACGCAGUUGCGAACGGGUGAGUAACGCGUAGGUAACUACCUAUUAGAGGGGGAUAACUAUUGGAAACGAUAGCUCAUAACGUCUACUAGUAGAUGUACCUGCGUUGUAUUAGCUAGUAGGUAGGGUAAUGGCCUACCUAGGGAACGAUACAUAGGCGCGCUGGAGAGGUGAACGGCCACACUUGGAAUGAGGCACCGCCCAGACUCCUACCGGAGGCAAGAGUAGGGAAUCUUCGGAAAAUGGGGGAACGCUGACCGAGCAACGCCGCGUGAGUGAAGAAGGUCUUCGGGGCGUAAAGCUCUGUUGUUCAGGGAGCGUUACUUGACCAGAAAGGGACGGCUAACUACGUGCCAGCAGCCGCGGUAAUUC
rnacentral:rRNA from 1 species